AGCCGUACUCAUGUCCAGCCUAGUUCCCAAGGAUUUCUGAAGUGAUUGCCAGAAUCGCGAGGUAAAUCGACUAUCCCGAUCUAAGAUAAUGGACUUUGGUACCCCAUGCAAUCUCACGAUUUCCUUGAUGUACAGAUUUGUCAGUUUCUCCAUCUUGUCGGUCUCUUUCAUUGGUAGAAAGUGGGCUGACUUGGUCAGUCUGUCGACGAUUACCCAUAUGGUAUCAAGUCCGCCUGAUGUUUUACGCAGCUUGGUUAUGAAGUCCAUGGUUAUUCGUUCCCACUUCCAUUCCGGUAUAUCAGGCUGUUGUAGUAGUCCUGAGGGUUUCUGGUAUUCCACCUUGACCUUGGCACAAGUCAGACACUUGCCCACAUAAGUGGCGAUCUCAGCUUUCAUGUUCGGCCACCAGUACGACUUCUUGAGGUCUAGAUACAUCUUAUCCGAACCUGGAUGGAUGGAAUAUCGAGUCUUGUGUGCUUCGUUCAUGACAACGUCUCGGAACCCGCCAAACUUCGGUGUCCAGAUCCGGUUCAUGAGGUAGCGAGCUCUAUCUUCCUUAAUUUCUAGGUUUGUAUCCAUCCCUCUCAAUGCCUCACCUGUCACGUUUUCUGGUUUCAAGGCUUCAAGUUGAGCUUCCUUGAUUUGUGUGAACAGGUGUGAAUGGAUCGUCAUUGUUAAUGACUUCACCUGGCAACCCGAAUAUUCGUUUCUGCUUAGGGCAUCGGCUACAAAAUUUUCCUUGCCCGGAUGAUAGCAAAUUUCACACUCGUAGUCGUUCUGCAGCUCUACCUAUCUUCUUUGCCGCAUGUUGAGCUCUUUUUGAUUGAGGAUAUGCUGGAGAAUUUUGUGAUCGGUGAAGAUAGUGCACUUUGUGCCGUAGAGGUAGUGCUUCCAGAUCUUUAGGGUGAACACUACUGCUCCCAUUUCAAGGUCGUGGGUAGUAUAAUUAAUCUCGUGUGUUUUAAGUUGCCUUGACGCGUAAGCGAUGACCUUCCCUCUCUGCAUGAACACACAUCCGAGACCUUGAUUUGAAGCAUCGCAAUACACCACGAAGUCAUCGGUUCCUUCUGGGAGAGACAAGACCGGUGCGCUACAUAGGGCUUGUUUUAACGUUUGGAAGGCGACUUCUUGUUUAUCUCCCCACUUAGACAUCACACCUUUUUGAGUCAAGGUGGUGAGUGGUUUAGCGAUCCUAGAGAAGUUUUGGAUGAAUCUUCGGUAGUAUCCAACGAGUCCUAAAAUUUGUUGGAUUUCUAUCGGCGUUGUAGGUGCUGACCAGUUUUUGAUCGUUUUGAUUUUUGAGGGAUCCACAUGUAUCCCUUUAUCGCUAACUAUGUGGCCAAGGAAUCGCACUUCUCGGAGCCAAAAUUCGCACUUUGAAAAUUUAGCAUAAAGCUUCUCAGUUCUUAGAGUCUCCAAUACUACCCGCAGAUGUUGGUUGUGCUCUUCUUUGCUUCGCGAAUAGACAAAGAUAUCGUCGAUGAAUACGAUUACAAAUUUGUAUAAGAAGGGCCGACACACCCGGUUCAUCAUAUCCAUGAAUACCGCAGGUGCGUUUGUCAGUCCAAAGGGUAUCACCACAAAUUCUUAAUGGCCGUAGCGCGUUCUGAAUGCUGUCUUAGGAAUAUCAUCCUCUUGAACUCGCAGUUGAUGGUAACCCGACCUCAAGUCGAUCUUUGAAAAGUUGUUUGCUCCCUGGAGUUGGUCGAAGAGAUCAUCGAUUCGAGGCAGGGGAUAUCGAUUUUUGACAAUAAUUUUGUUUAACUCCCGAUAGUCGAUGCACAUGCGAAAGGAUCCAUCCUUCUUUUUCACAAAUAAGACUGGUGCUCCCCAGGGUGAAAAGCUUGAUCUGAUGAACCUCUUGCUUAAUAGUUCGUUCAAUUGACUAGACAGUUCUUGCAUUUCUUCCGGUGUGAGGUGAUAUGGAGCUUUGGCUAAGGGGGUAGCUUUGGGAACCAAGUCGAUUCAGAAUUCGACUUGUCGUGCGAGUGGUACACCUGGCAGAUCUUCUGGGAAUACAUCAAGGAAGUUGCACACUUCUGGAAUGUCUUUGAUAUCCUUCACCCCUUGUUUCUUAUCUACGACGUGGGUUAAGAAGGCGUGGUAUUCCUUUCGGAGAUACUUUUGAGCCUUGACGCAAGAAAUGAUUUGUAGAUUUGUAUUGGGUUUAUCGCUGUAGACGAGGAGGGUUUCGCCAUUUGGUAGAGUAAGGCGGACGGCCCUUUUGUAACAUAAAAUAUCGGCACGAUUUGAACUUAACCAAUCCAUUCCAAUGAUGAUGUCGAAACUUUUUAUUGUGACCGACAUUAGAUCGAUUUUGAACGAAUGGUUGUCUAGAGUGAGGGUACACCCUAUGUAAAUAUCAUUAGCACGCUCAACCUUUCCGUUUGCCAUUUCUACGACGUAUGAAUCUUUUAAUGACUGGGGAUUUUGUUUAAGUAAAUGUCUGAAUUGGUGGCUCACGAAAAUCCUUUCUGCUCCACAAUCGAAAAGUACGCAUGCAUAAGAGUUAUUGAGGAGGAACGUACCGUUAACCACUGUGGGGUCCUUGACUGCUUCUCAAUGCCCUAAAGCUAGGACUCUUCCUGCACCUCCAACAUUGGUGUUUUGUGCUUUUGGGCAGUUUCUUUUGAAGUGCCCUGCCUCUCCACAGCCGUAAUAGGUUUGGCUUGCUUCGGUGUUGGCGGUCGGGGUGGAUUGGGCUGGCACUUUACAAAAUCAAGCAGUGUGCCCCUUCCUGUUGCAAUUACUGCAGUGCAUUUCCCGACAAGCACCGGUGUGGUGGAAGUUGCACUUGUUGCACUUGGGAAGAGUUCCGACAUAUUGCUUCCGUGGGGCCGGAGUGGAGGGAGUAGUGGCAGCAUGGAUGGCAACAGUUUGUUGUUUCUUUGCGGGGUCCUGCGCCGGUUGCUUCUUUUUAUUGUCCCAGAAUUUUCUCUUGUUGUUCCCUCCCUUUGCUUGAUCGGAGGUGGUUGGNCGCGAGGUAAAUCGACUAUCCCGAUCUAAGAUAAUGGACUUUGGUACCCCAUGCAAUCUCACGAUUUCCUUGAUGUACAGAUUUGUCAGUUUCUCCAUCUUGUCGGUCUCUUUCAUUGGUAGAAAGUGGGCUGACUUGGUCAGUCUGUCGACGAUUACCCAUAUGGUAUCAAGUCCGCCUGAUGUUUUACGCAGCUUGGUUAUGAAGUCCAUGGUUAUUCGUUCCCACUUCCAUUCCGGUAUAUCAGGCUGUUGUAGUAGUCCUGAGGGUUUCUGGUAUUCCACCUUGACCUUGGCACAAGUCAGACACUUGCCCACAUAAGUGGCGAUCUCAGCUUUCAUGUUCGGCCACCAGUACGACUUCUUGAGGUCUAGAUACAUCUUAUCCGAACCUGGAUGGAUGGAAUAUCGAGUCUUGUGUGCUUCGUUCAUGACAACGUCUCGGAACCCGCCAAACUUCGGUGUCCAGAUCCGGUUCAUGAGGUAGCGAGCUCUAUCUUCCUUAAUUUCUAGGUUU
rnacentral:lncRNA from 1 species